rnacentral:tRNA from 1 species
UCCCUGGAGGUCUAGUGGUUAUGCCACAGCGCUCUCACCGCUGCGGCCCGGGUUCAAUUCCUGGCCAGGGAA